rnacentral:rRNA from 1 species
GAUACGCGAGGAACCUUACCUGGGCUCAAAUGUAUGUUGACGUAUUCUGAAAGGGAUACUUCUUCGGACAAUAUACAAGGUGCUGCAUGGUUGUCGUCAGCUCGUGCCGUGAGGGUGUUCGGGUUAAGUCCCGCAACGAGCCGCAACCCCUGCUAUCUGUUGCCAGCAAGGUGAUGUUGGGGACUCAGAUGGAACUGCCGGUGACAAACCGGAGGAAGGUGGGGACGACGUCAAGUCAUCAUGGCCCUUAUGUCCUGGGCUACACACGUGCUACAAUGGCCGGUACAGAGCGCAGCGAAGCCGCGAGGCAAAGCGAAUCGCAAAAGCCGGUCUCAGUACGGAUUGGAGUCUGAAACCCGACUCCAUGAAGUUGGAAUCGCUAGUAAUCGCGCAUCAGCAUGGCGCGGUGAAUACGGUUCCCGGGCCUU